CCUACGGGGGGCAGCAGUGGGGAAUAUUGGACAAUGGGCGAAAGCCUGAUCCAGCCAUGCCGCGUGUGUGAAGAAGGCCUUCGGGUUGUAAAGCACUUUCAGUGGGGAAGAAAGCCUUGGGGCUAAUACCCUCGAGGAAGGACAUCACCCACAGAAGAAGCACCGGCUAACUCCGUGCCAGCAGCCGCGGUAAUACGGAGGGUGCGAGCGUUAAUCGGAAUUACUGGGCGUAAAGCGCGCGUAGGCGGUCUGAUAAGCCGGUUGUGAAAGCCCCGGGCUCAACCUGGGAACGGCAUCCGGAACUGUCAGGCUAGAGUGCAGGAGAGGAAGGUAGAAUUCCCGGUGUAGCGGUGAAAUGCGUAGAGAUCGGGAGGAAUACCAGUGGCGAAGGCGGCCUUCUGGACUGACACUGACGCUGAGGUGCGAAAGCGUGGGUAGCAAACAGGAUUAGCUACCCGUGUAGUC
rnacentral:rRNA from 1 species